AUUGAACGCUGGCGGCAUGCCUUACACAUGCAAGUCGAACGGCAGCACGGGAGCAAUCCUGGUGGCGAGUGGCGAACGGGUGAGUAAUAUAUCGGAACGUGCCCAGUCGUGGGGAUAACGUAGCGAAAGCUACGCUAAUACCGCAUACGAUCUAUGGAUGAAAGCGGGGGAUCGCAAGACCUCGCGCGAUUGGAGCGGCCGAUAUCAGAUUAGGUAGUUGGUGAGGUAAAGGCUCACCAAGCCGACGAUCUGUAGCUGGUCUGAGAGGGCGACCAGCCACACUGGGACUGAGACACGGCCCAGACUCCUACGGGAGGCAGCAGUGGGGAAUUUUGGACAAUGGGCGCAAGCCUGAUCCAGCAAUGCCGCGUGCAGGAUGAAGGCCUC
rnacentral:rRNA from 1 species